rnacentral:lncRNA from 1 species
CUUCCUUUUUCUCUGUGCAUCCUCAGUGACGCGGGGCACAGCUCUGCCCGGGGGCCUACCAGAGCCCACCUGGACCCCACACUGGGUCAGCCCUGGUGCGGAGGAGGCCGCUGUAGGCGCGGCCAGGUCACAGUCGGCACCAGAAGUUUGGCAGAUCUCAGUGAGGCGUUAGUUUGCAUUUCCUUGUGACGG